CAAAUACUUUAAUUCUGUUAAUAUCUUUUCAGUUAGCUGAUGCAAAGGACAAAAUCUCUUCAAUCCUUCUGAUUGCGGUUCUAGAUGUCCUGUUUUGACACCGAAUAUUAAAGUAAGUUGCUUUCAAAGAUAACAACAUUUAAAGUACGGUAUUGCAACUUCUUGAGGAGAUUUUUGAAAUCCUUUAGAACUGGCCUUAUUCAACACAAUGCCUUCAAAUCUUAAAGCUAGUUUUCGCCAAAACAUAAAUUCUGUUUGGAUCUAUGAGGAUAAGGAAGCAUUUUUCUCCGACUUAUUUUUCAGAUCUACAAUAAAUACAAUCACUGUCAAAUGGAAAUCAGACCUCAGCAGCCUAUUGGCCAAAAUAUGGUGAGGAUCUGCACUGAUGAAAUCAGAUUGGUACUAUGUAAAAUUUGUUGAAACAGCACUGGCUUUUCAAUCUGGCAAUUAAAUUGCGUAAUUAAAAGUAGCACCAAGAAGCCACCCUAUGCAUUCUCAAUAAACGAUAUCAGGUGUGGGGGGGGGGGGGGGGAAGAAAACAACUCUAAUCUUGUUUCAUCAAUUCUAAGGAGAGAGAAACUCACGUCUGUUUGCUUUUAUAGAUGCCUCUAGUUUUAAAUUUUACAAUUUCCUUCUUUAAUGGCAAUACAAGAAUGCUGCCUGUGAGGAUGCAUGUAUGCUGCUCUGCUCCCUAUGUUAAUUUCAAUUUGAUUUUAUAUUUAUUUUCAGGAAUGCCAAAAUUAUAUUUCAACAAGAAGAUAUCAAGUUUGUGCAGCCAUCUUCUUCUUCUUCUUCUUCUUCUUAUCUAGGUAAGUGGGAGAGGAUGGAGAUGCUGCCAAACAACCCUCGUCGGCUAUUCAUUAUGUGAUCAUCAGUUGGAUAAAAGGAAGCUUAAAAGCACGACGAGCACUGUUCGCGUACUCUCUCCGAGUGCGAAGCAAGUAGAAGCUUUUGUUGCGUCCAAGAAUGAAAUCUUGAGCCCAUCUUCAACUCGACAAAUAUCAUCUAUCUUGAGUUCCUUAGAUGUGGACUCGAAAUGAUUAGAGAAAAUUGAUAACGAUGAUGAGAAGAAAGCAGUGAUGUCUGCAAAGAAGAUGACAAAAAUUGGACCUCAUGGUGAGAGCUAGAUCAAUAAGCAGCCUGCUUGGCCAGAUUGAUAGUACGGCAAUUGAGUAUUAUUUCGUGCAGAAGAAAGUUGAAUCGUUAUGAUAUGUUGUUGCAUUGAAUUUGGAAUGUAUAUAUAUGGCCACAGUAUAACAGAUGUAUGUGGUAUUGAACAAGUUGAAUUGCGAUAUAUUGUUGCUCUUUCAUUCGUGCAUUUAACUCUGGC
rnacentral:lncRNA from 1 species